GAUGCCGGCCCGGGACAGGGGCCGGAGAGCGGCGCCGCCUCACGGCCGGGCCUGGGCUGUGAGCCUGCGGAGCGCUGUGGCAGCGCUGGCGUUGAGGGCUGGGCCAUCCAGCACACCCCCAGUGCCAAACCAAUUUCUUUGCACAGUAAGGUUCUCACUGUGGCUCUCCACGGGCAACAUGAUGCAGCUCUUCCGUAUGCCAGAGAAUGUGAGUGCCUGAACCAGGUGAAGAACAUCCUGCCUGCACCUCCUCCCAACAAACAGGAGAAGGUCCAUCUCUAGUGGUGGUGUGACUUCACUUGUGGCAGCAUGACACAGGAUGGAGGUGGUUUCUGCAUCACUGAAGCCUAAGGUGCACGCAUGGUCUGGAUCCAUGAGGCAGCCAGUGAAUGUACUGGGAUCACUCAUACCCAAAUGUGUGCACUACAUAAAUGCUAUGCUGCUGUA